GAGGGCAAUAAUGUCUUGGCAAGCUCUACAGUGUUCCCUCCUUUAUGAGAGGCUUACCAUGGACCUGCUGGAAUUGAAAUGCCUCUGUCCUGAGUUCAGCCCCUCCUGAAUUGCCAGAGACCAUGUCAGCAAUCCCAAAACAUCCCAGCUGGGCAAAAAACGUGCAGAAAAACAAGAUCUAGGAAAAGAGAAGAGUCUGUAAAACAGGACAUGAAAGACUGCACAGAAGCUUGGCUCUACACUUGAGAAAAUGUAUCCCAGAAGGUCAGUAGAGGAUAUAUAGAAAUCAUGAUAACAAGCACAGCAGAUACCAAGAUCUUGAAUCUAACCCUAUGAUCCAAUAAAAUAAAACAGUGCUCCUCACAGAAAUGACUGAUUGAAGACCUCCAGAGGAACAUAUAUUAAGCUGAAGGGGAAGCUGAAGCAUCUUUUCCUGUAACACAUAAUGAAAUGCUGCCCCCAAAAACUCAAGAAUGGCGGAGACAGGACAAAGGGACAAAUCAGCUAACUAAAGCAGCAACCCAUUGCCAAAGCUGAAGCAUUUUGAGCAACAAAAUAAACUAAUAUUGGGUUAUAACACAGAGUACAUCAACUAAAUAAUUGAAAAAUAAAUACUUAAAACACAA